rnacentral:rRNA from 1 species
UACGGGGGGAGCAAGCGUUGUUCGGAUUUACUGGGCGUAAAGCGCGCGCAGGCGGUCCUUUAAGUCUGAUGUGAAAGCCCACGGCUCAACCGUGGAGGGUCAUUGGAAACUGGGGGACUUGAGUACAGAAGAGGAAAGCGGAAUUCCACGUGUAGCGGUGAAAUGCGUAGAGAUGUGGAGGAACACCAGUGGCGAAGGCGGCUUUCUGGUCUGUAACUGACGCUGAGGCGCGAAAGCGUGGGGAGCAAACAGG